rnacentral:tRNA from 1 species
AUCGAAAUAGCUCAGUUGGGAGAGCGUUAGACUAUAAAUCGAAAGGUUCCUGGUUCGGUUCGGGAUUAGCAA